rnacentral:rRNA from 1 species
CAGUCGCCGCGGUAAUACGUAGGUGGCAAGCGUUGUCCGGAAUUAUUGGGCGUAAAGGGCUCGCAGGCGGUUUCUUAAGUCUGAUGUGAAAGCCCCCGGCUCAACCGGGGAGGGUCAUUGGAAACUGGGAAACUUGAGUGCAGAAGAGGAGAGUGGAAUUCCACGUGUAACGGUGAAAUGCGUAGAGAUGUGGAGGAACACCAGUGGCGAAGGCGACUCUCUGGUCUGUAACUGACGCUGAGGAGCGAAAGCGUGGGGAGCGAACAGGAUUAGAUACCCCAGUAGUCCCUGUCUCUUAUAU